UACGAAGGGUGCUAGCGUUGUUCGGAAUCACUGGGCGUAAAGCGCGCGUAGGCGGCUAUCCAAGUCAGAGGUGAAAGCCCUGGGCUCAACCCAGGAAUUGCCUUUGAAACUGUUUAGCUAGAGUGUCGGAGGGGAUAGCGGAAUUCCUAAUGUAGAGGUGAAAUUCGUAGAUAUUAGGAGGAACACCGGUGGCGAAGGCGGCUAUCUGGACGACAACUGACGCUGAGGCGCGAAAGCGUGGGGAUCAAACAGG
rnacentral:rRNA from 1 species